AUCGAACGCUGGCGGAAUGCUUUACACAUGCAAGUCGAACGGCAGCACGGACUUCGGUCUGGUGGCGAGUGGCGAACGGGUGAGUAAUAUAUCGGAACGUGCCCAGUCGUGGGGGAUAACGUAGCGAAAGCUACGCUAAUACCGCAUACGAUCUACGGAUGAAAGCGGGGGAUCGCAAGACCUCGCGCGAUUGGAGCGGCCGAUAUCAGAUUAGGUGGUUGGUGAGGUAAAGGCUCACCAAGCCGACGAUCUGUAGCUGGUCUGAGAGGACGACCAGCCACACUGGGACUGAGACACGGCCCAGACUCCUACGGGAGGCAGCAGUGGGGAAUUUUGGACAAUGGACGCAAGUCUGAUCCAGCCAUUCCGCGUGCAGGACGAAGGCCUUCGGGUUGUAAACUGCUUUUGUACAGAACGAAAAGGUCUCUAUUAAUACUAGGGGCUCAUGACGGUACUGUAAGAAUAAGCACCGGCUAACUACGUGCCAGCCGCCGCAGUAA
rnacentral:rRNA from 1 species